UCUAAGAAGUAAAAAAAACAGCAGAAAUCGUCCAUACAGAGUAAUCGUUACCCACUAACAUAUCCACAGCCAAUUUUCCUUUGGGCUAGAGGGAAAGAAUUUUGCAACAUUUGACCUCCCAAAAAGUGGAUGUUGAUUCCACAAAGAUGGGGAUGUUGAGGAGUGAGUGGGGAGAGGCCUGCAUCUGCCCCAGCGACUGAUCUCACCCUGUCCACAGGUUCCCAAAGGACCCCCGUGUGAGAAGCCGUGAUCAUGAACACGGAUACAAAGAACUCAGAGUAAAUCAUAAUUUUGUUGUAAAACGGAAAUGGAAGAAAAAUGAGCUCUGUGAACAUAAUUUCAGGCAAAUGAAAAAUUGAUUGGAAACGGACUUCAAGGUUAGACCAUUGGUCCAGGAUUCAUGACACCGGAUCGAUAGUGUUUGCUCUGGAAAAUACCUUUUCACUGAACAUCCACGAACAAAGGCAAGGUUAUAAUAAAGCUUUUGGAAUUCAAAUUGUUACCAGGGUCAGCACGCUCUCACUCUGCACACGCACACAUACGCGCUCAGACACACGUGCACACACGAGCACGCACCUGCAUACACGCUCCCUGCCUGGGGCCAGCUGAGCUCUCCUGCCCUGCCUGGAACGUGCCUCUCCUUCAUGGAAACAGGGAGGACCUGGGGUCACACGGCUGAGCCCACACUCCAGCUCUUGCUGCUCUGUGGCCCAGGUCUUUGCUUGGUCUUGAACGGGGUUCCCAGGUCCUGAUCUGUGCUUCCCGACUUCCUCUGUGUGAGCCCAAUAAUCUACACUCCCCUGGAAUGUGUCCGUUCGAAGGAAGAUCCCACUGGCGUGUGCGUGGAGUCCUCCACCACAGUUGCCAACUCCCAGCCUGGCCCAGAAGACCACCUGCCCCCCAUGUCGGAGAAGUUGCCGCAGACCUGACCUGCCAGGGCAGGGGUUAGACUCCCCGCCCCACCCAGCCAGGGCGUCUUUUCUGCCCGCGGGUGGGUGCAAGCAGGCUCCCCCCAGCCACUCGGCUUCUGCAGGGCUGAGCUUCACUGCCCUGGACAAGAAUGGACAAGAACCGGACCGAGGCCGCCCAUGGACAGCCAGCCAGCCAGGCUCCGCUCGGCCUCUGACCCACCGCCUGGCUUGGGCACCACGGCUCCUCUCUGCCAGUGGCUGGGGGGCGGCCUGGGCAUCCCCAUGAGCACAGACUCCUCGGAAUCCUGAGAGGCCCUCCCCUCCCCUUCCCUCCCCUGCCCAGUCACACCCAGUUCUUUCAGCAGGGGAGCUGGGGGACACUGACUUCAACAUGGGCCUGGGUUUGGAGGAGCUUGUCCCUCUCAUGCUCCUCAUAUGCCCAGUGAAGCCUCAGCCAGGGACAGGCACGGAGCCCUUCCCGGCCUCAUGGCGCUUCCUGAAGUCGGAAUGUGCGUCUUCAAGCUGUUACCGCAUCCCCCUUGCCUGUGAGGAACCCCACAGUGCUGUACGGCCCCGGGCUUCAGGGCACGCCGCCCUUUGUCCGCUAACUAGUGUGGUUGUGUGGUUCUCUGAAUAGCCUGCAUGUCACGUUUGA
rnacentral:lncRNA from 1 species